rnacentral:rRNA from 1 species
GUCAUCAUGGCCCUUACGGCCAGGGCUACACACGUGCUACAAUGGUCGGUACAAAGGGUUGCCAAGCCGCGAGGUGGAGCUAAUCCCAUAAAACCGAUCGUAGUCCGGAUCGCAGUCUGCAACUCGACUGCGUGAAGUCGGAAUCGCUAGUAAUCGUGAAUCAGAAUGUCACGGUGAAUACGUUCCCGGGCCUUGUACACACCGCCCGUCACACCAUGGGAGUGGGUUGCUCCAGAAGUAGCUAGUCUAACCGCAAGGGGGACGGUUACCACGGAGUGAUUCAUGACUGGGGUGAAGUCGUAACAAGGUAGCCGUAGGGGAACCUGCGGCUGGAUCACCUCCUUAAUCGAAGA